UAUGGCAAAAAUUGUCUCUUCCUUAUUUCUAUGUCUCUUCCUUAUUUCUAUGCAGUUAUUAUACGAGUUAUGACUUAUGUUCUGCAAUUAAUAUCUUAUGUUUUGUCUUACUGUAUGCAUUUGACAUUUCACCUAGAUUGUUCAAUGGUUGUCUCUGCCUGAUAGACUCUCAACUCUAGCUCCCAAACCCAAGGUCGGGGAGUUGUGUCUCUGUCUGUUGAGACUUGGUGCUCCUUUCUCACAGAUAGUUGGACGUCAGCAAUGCAGGUGUGAGAAUGUAAACAUCUUCACACACACUGCGACAGGGAGGAGAUGGUGCAUGUAAUUUGAUUGGGUUAGACAGACAUUCCACCCUAGUCGGACAGAGAAGCUAAAAGGCAGAAGCAACUUGAGGAUCGUGGGCUCUUUGCAUCACACCUUCGUGGUGUGUGCACUGAUCUCCCCAGCUGGUUUUUGGUUUGUUGAUGUGCACGAUCAACAUCCAUGCUUUUUAUUUGCUUUCCCCAUUAUUUUUAUUUUCUUUAUUAUUUCAAUAAAUCGCACAAAAGGACAACUCUCUCUCAUCUACUUCUUUAUGGAAAAUUUCCACCACAGAAAUUGGCGUCACGAACAGGAUCCCGCAGCAGGUCGUCUGGACGGUGUGACCAGGGACGAUAGUCCUGAGGACUAGGGUCGCUCAGCCUCCGAACCUCUACAGACAUUCAGAGCUGGGAGGACUGCUCACCCGUCUGGAUCGCCUCUGACGAGAUCCACGAACUCAGAUUCAAACUCAAAUCCUAAUUUGGUUCGGCUCGGUGAGAGAGAUUCCUUUUAAUUUGGGAAAAAACAUAAAAGAAAACAUAACUAGGACUAGAGAUAAUAAUAUUUCUAAAACGACUAUGUGGCUGAAAAACAUCUAAAAUAUAAUAAUUAGGACCAAACAAUUUUUUUUAAUUAAAAAAUUUUAAUAUUCGGGUAAAAGUUAAUUAGGUCAAAGUCUGCCCUGGUGGUCGAGACGGUGGUUGCUAAGGGUUGGCUCGUGGGACCGAGCUUGUUUUGUCUGUACUGAGGAUACAGACCAGUGUGCAGAUCUGAGCGCAGUCCAAAGGGUGUGGACAAGGAAAUAAAAGACGGCUUCUGUAAGACGGAGCGCGUUUGCAGGGGGAAGUGGUUUUGAGAUACGAGGGACCCGGGUCUUAGAGGGGCCUGACGGUGAGGGACCACUUCCGAGAACCCUGUCGCUGAUCUGAGCGGUUCCCUUUCUACGGAGACGUCCGUGGAAGAGAAAUUUCGAAAAAAGGUUCCGGCCGGAACACAUAAAAAUCUAAGGCAGAAAACCGCCGGGACUCUGAAAGAUGGGUUCGGGGCGAUCUAAGUCUCCACCACCAGACUGCAGCAUUACAAAAGUAAAAGUAAUUAAAAGUAAAAAGUAAAUAUGGUUAUUAGUGCGUUUCAUGUUUCCAUUAGUGGGAAACUGGUUAUGGGUUCAAAAGGAGAAUUACGUAGUGUAAAAGACAUAUGCACCUUUAAAAGAUUUGAAAGAGCAAAACAUCAAAACUAAAGCCCUAAAAGAAACAAAAGAGUGAUGAGAGUAACAGAAAAAAAAAAAAAAAAAAAAAAGGAGAUAACAACUCUGGGGAAGAAUUGUUUGCACUCUGCCACACCACACGCACACCACACACACAUCAUGUCAAGAUCAAAUGCUCCCACUGUUUCUGCUCUCUAUUCUAAUGCAGAACCGAGCGCGUUGAGGGUAAAUCCGGAUCUGGACUCCUUUCCCACCAUCAGCAGAAGAACCGAAGGAGAAGAAGCGCCGACCAACAACCAGAACGGGGUGGAAGCUCUGACACCACAGCAGCUGGAGGACACAGACCACAGCAUGGACGCCUCACAGACUCCCACAACGUCUGCAGCCAUCACGUUCUGGGCUCAUCAGAUGAACCAGCUACUACAGACCCUGCACCAGCAUGAAAGGACUGUGUCUGAAGCUUCAGAGGAAACUGUCUUACAAGCGUGUGUGUCUGACAGACACCUGCUUAUGACAAUCAGCAAAGGAAAACAAGGACAGAGCAACAGCAGAGAAGACGUGCUCUGACACAGACACUGGUUGAAACAACAGGAGAGGCUUCAGACGUGAUCGGCCCAAUAGAGCUGCAUGCGAGGAUCCAGGAAAGGUCUGUCAUCGAGGAACAACUGUCCCAUUGAAAGGCUUCACCCACUGGCGCUCACAUCAGACUGAUGGUUGGGGAAGGAGGAAGGUGACGGUUCCUUUUCACGUGACGUACAAGACGGUACCGCAAACACACACACACAUUCAUACACGCAAUGAAGAAACACGCUUACAGCUGAUACACGCUCAAAUUCAUGUUCAUGCUUAUCUGCUUGCAAUGAAGAAUCGCUUUUUGCUCAAAAAAAAAAUCCCACAGAGUGAUUUUAAAAAUAUGACAAACAGCUAAAUGACAACUGCUGCAUGACUUUACAGUCUGAUGGGUUUAAACUAUUUCAAUUUGCAACAAAUUCAGUAAUAAAAUCCUCCAUGUUUCUAAAAAUACUUGUGCACAAUAUAGGUUUGUCUGGCCAGACUAUAGGAAAACAAAACAGACUGUAGAAAAAACAAAACCAGACCAUAGGAAGACUGAAACCGACUGAAACAGACCAUUAAUGACUAUUAAAGGGAAGACGACUAUUAGAGAGAAGUAAUAAUAAUUACUGUACGUACCAGACUAUUAAAGAAAAACCUAUUCUUUCACUGUCUUGUGCAACAUCUGACAGCAAGACACCGUAACAUUCAUUUUUGCUUUCAAACUUGUGCCCAGUUAAAUUUUUAGGAAGAGAUCUCAUGUAGUUUAGAUAUUUGAUUGAUUUCCACUCCAGACGGAGUGCAGGUUACAUCUACAGACAUUCUAAAUAAUCCCUCUUUUGUUGGUGUUAACUUCAGCUCAGCUGUGCUCUUAUCAUUGGCUGCUGAGGGGGGGCUGUAACUGAGGCCCUCACACAGGCUGCAUCACAGCUUGUUUAUGAUUUCACACACACACAAACUGACCUCAACUUCCCUCUUUUGGGAUGAACACAGGUCUGCGCUUGCGAUUUCUUUUACUAACGAACAAAAAGAUUUUUGAUGUUUAUUCUACAGCUCCACACGUCCCUCUGUGAAAACAUGAUGGAGACAGAUGCAGGACGUGGGUCCUUUCGUGAACAGAUGUCAACGGGGUGGAGACUGGUGAACGACUUCUGACCCCAUAGGACGCUCUGACCCAACACUCAGCCUUACAGGAAGCCCUGCUUCCCUGUGGCUCACACACAGACAUGAUGUAGGUUUGAUCAGAGGAUGUGAACCAGUGGUCAUCACACCUAAAUCUGACCACAGACCAUGUAAACAACAACACCCUCUUAAAGGAGCCAUAGAUGGCGUUACUGCAGACACCACUAAGCUACUGAAACAUUGGAUGCUACAGGCCACAAAGAGAGCCUGUCUAAAUUACAGUUUGUUCAGACAAAGGUUAUUUUUCUGGGUCAUUGUAAUUACAGCUGAUGGCAAAUCCAUCUCACCCAACAGAGUUAAAGCAAUUUGAAACCUGCCUAAACCGUGCACGUAAAAACAGCUGAUGUUUUUUCUAGGUCUUUGUUCUUAUUGUAGGACCUUCAGUCCUAACUUUACUGUCUUUGAGGCCCCACUCAGGGUUCUGAUGCAGACAUCUUCAUCGUCCACUUCUUGUCUCACGUGGACGUCUGAGGCUGAACAACGUUCACUGACCUCAUGCUUGCUCUUCAGGCUCCUACUUUGGGUCUUCCUGAUCUGACCCUACGCGACCUUUCACUCAAACAGUGGAUGAGAAAUCAGGUUGUACGACUUCUGUUCUUUUGUCCUCAUACUGUCUUUGAUUCUUUUGGAAUAGAUCACAUCUUUCUACAGCCAGAUGGCUUAGAUGCAACACCACCUUGCUCAACAUGCUGAACGUUACUAUCAAGAGGCCGUCUUGAAGUCUGGCUCUUUGCUAAGACACUACUCUGCUCAGGCUGCAGAGUUGAUCACAUUGACUGAAGCUAGUAAACUAACAGAAGGAGAGUCUGUUACCAUCUACACGGACUCCACAGACGCUCUGUGGAAGCAUAGGAAGCUUUUUUGAAGUCUAAUUGCAAACCUAUCUCACAUCAUGAUUAGGUUCUGCUUUGCUGGACGCUGUCCUGCUGCCUACAGCUAAUGCUGUUUUUACAUCAUCAGUGACGACUUUGUUUCUGCCGACAUGCAGCUGCAGACGCUGCUGCGAAGGACGAGAACCCCUCCCUCUCCUGAUCCUCGUUUCCUCUCCUCAUCCUUGUUUCCUCUCUCCAACUCUCUCUAUCCUUUCCUUCCUAUCUCCCUGUGCUUUAAACAUUUUCUACCUCACAGGAACGCAGACUCUGGCUGACGAAUGGUUCCACCUGUAGCCAUGGAGUCUGGUUUGGGCCUGAUGACACGCCGUGCCGCCCAAACACUUUUUCCCCACAAUUCAGAUUUCCCAACAGGUGAAAACAGGCGACAGGACCACUACACCAUCCAACCAGGGCACGGGUGAUCGUUAAGGAGUUCAGGAGGAAGCACUGGAACUCCAAACGGUGGCGAAGCCCCUUCCAGGUCCUUCUGACGACCCACACGGCUGUGAAUAUCGCAGAAAGAGCGACUUGGAUCAACUCCAUCCAGGAAGGUCCCGGAUCCAACAGACGACCCUCCAUCUACAUCUACACCACACGAGAAAUCCACCACUGACGAAAAGAACUGAGAAGGACGACCCUCGCUGUGCUCACACACGCACUGAGGCGAGGCUGCGUUGACCGUUCAGCUAAAGGUGUGAGCCAAGCGCCGCCUGAAGCUGCACCGGUGAAUCACACUAUCAGACCAUACAUCUACACACACGCUCCUGAGAAAACACACACACGAGCAGCCUUGAGUUGCCAACGCUGGACGACGUGUAGACUCUUCACAUCACGGGAGUGACAGUGCCUCAGACGACAUUGGGAGGAAACCUGGCGGUGAUAACGAAUCCCAAGUGUCUCUGUGAUCAGCUGAUCACAACCUGAAGAACCCCAACGAGCAAUCAAUACUUCAACACACAGGUUGGAAACAAUCUAACGCUACUGUUCAACAGGAAGAAGCAGAUUGUUACAAGACAUCAAUUGUAACCUUGUUUUGUUAAACUUCAUUUUAUGUUACAUGGAUUGUUGUCUUUAUCACAUGAUGUUUCUAUGUAACUUUACACACUACUUUUGAAUGAGAAAAUUUCACAUAAUUCACAACACUGAGUUUAAAUAUCCUAAAGUUGAUUUGGUGUUUAAUUUGCUCACAAUCACUUAUUCACUGCUACAAUUAGUUUUUAUCCUUCAUCUACAGAUGACAGAGGUUAUGAGACAAAACGCAUCAUCAUUCUGGUUAAAUCCCUGAAUCUCCUAUUCGCUCUAGACGCAAAUGUACAAUUAAAGAUCCGAAAGCAUGAAAUCUAUCUUAAGAUUAUAUGAUACAGAACCCCACCGGAAACCUAUGGCUAUCAUACAUUAAUUAUCUUUAUUACAUUACAAUUGAAUGGCCGUAGACACGUUGUUAGCAGAGAAAAAAGGCGGUUGUGUUAUGUUUGGAAACGCAUAUUGUACUUACAUCCUGAAUAACACUGAUUCUAAUGGUAUUGUGGCGAAGGCGCUACACGGCCUUCAGAAUCUCAGCUAACUCUGGUAUAGAUUCUUUCCCUUGGAAUUGGCUAGACGAAAUGUCUGGAAAAUGGAAAUCUCAUGUCCGCAGCUGUUUCCUUUAUCACUGAGAUGGCUGUGAUUCUUUUUUUGGUUUUUGCAUUAUCCCACUGGUUAGAGGUCUCAUCAUGCGUGCGACCACAGCAACACUCUUGUAUCAAAUGACACAAUGCACUAUGUUCAAAAACCCCAACUCUAAUUCACGUAAUGACUUUGACAAUGGUCUUAGGCUAUUUGAUCACAAAAUAUAAUCUGAUACAAAUAUGAUUAUGAGCUUAUUUUCUUCACAUGCCAAUACAGAAGUUAUUCUUGUAUAACUACCCACCAAAAACAGCUCCCAACCUUUUGUCCCUAAGUUACUUGCAUUUUAUGUGAAGGUGUAUUUUGAAUCUUGAUGAGUUAAUACCCUUAUUGUUUCAUUUGCAAGGAUCUUUUAUUAUUACAGAAUGUGAUGUUGACAAUUUUUCUUCUUAGUGGUUGAUUAAUGUGUAAUCAAAAGGGGGGAGUGUUAUGGCAAAAAUUGUCUCUUCCUUAUUUCUAUGUCUCUUCCUUAUUUCUAUGCAGUUAUUAUACGAGUUAUGACUUAUGUUCUGCAAUUAAUAUCUUAUGUUUUGUCUUACUGUAUGCAUUUGACAUUUCACCUAGAUUGUUCAAUGGUUGUCUCUGCCUGAUAGACUCUCAACUCUAGCUCCCAAACCCAAGGUCAGGGAGUUGUGUCUCUGUCUGUUGAGACUUGGUGCUCCUUUCUCACAGAUAGUUGGACGUCAGCAAUGCAGGUGUGAGAAUGUAAACAUCUUCACACACACUGCGACAGGGAGGAGAUGGUGCAUGUAAUUUGAUUGGGUUAGACAGACAUUCCACCCUAGUCGGACAGAGAAGCUAAAAGGCAGAAGCAACUUGAGGAUCGUGGGCUCUUUGCAUCACACCUUCGUGGUGUGUGCACUGAUCUCCCCAGCUGGUUUUUGGUUUGUUGAUGUGCACGAUCAACAUCCAUGCUUUUUAUUUGCUUUCCCCAUUAUUUUUAUUUUCUUUAUUAUUUCAAUAAAUCGCACAAAAGGACAA